rnacentral:rRNA from 1 species
UACGUAGGGUCCGAGCGUUAAUCGGAAUUACUGGGCGAAAGCGUGCGCAGGCGGUUUGUAAGCCAGAUGUGAAAGCCCGGGCUUAACCUGGGAAUGGCAUUUGGGACUGCAAAGCUGGAGUAACGGCAGAGGGAGGUGGAAUUCCAGGUGUAGCAGUGAAAUGCGUAGAUAUCUGGAGGAACACCGAUGGCGAAGGCAGCCUCCUGGGCUAGUACUGACGCUCAUGCACGAAAGCGUGGGGAGCAAACAGG